rnacentral:tRNA from 1 species
GGAGCUGUGCCUGAAGUAAAGGGCCACUUUGAUAGAGUGAACCAUGAGGGUUAAAAUCCCUCCAUCUCCU